rnacentral:rRNA from 1 species
UAUUCUUAACGAUUAGGAGCGGUUAGUGGCGGACUGGUGAGUAAUGUAUAAGUAACCUGCCUAUCAGAGGGGAACAACAGUUGGAAACGACUGCUAAUACCGCAUAUGCCACGAGAAUCACAUGGUUCAAGUGGGAAAGGAGCAAUCCGCUGAUAGAUGGACUUAUAUCUGAUUAGCUAGUUGGUGGGGUAACGGCCUACCAAGGCGACGAUCAGUAGCCGGACUGAGAGGUUAAACGGCCACAUUGGGACUGAGAUACGGCCCAGACUCC